AUGUCCAUGCAGCAGCAACCGCCGCACCCGCAGCAGGCCUACUCCCAGCAGGCGGCGCAGCCAAUGCAGCAGUGGUCGCCGUCGUACCUUUACAUGCCGUACCCGCACGCGUCGCCGGAGUCCUACUACCAGGACUACUAUAGCCCGCCCGGGACGCACGCGCCGCCGCCUCCGCAUCCGCCGCCGCUGCAGGACUCGUACCGCCUGUUCGACGACGAGAACCCAAACUCGUGCCGCGUCAUGUGA
rnacentral:rRNA from 1 species